UAAUGUAUGGGGAUCUGCCCGAUAGAGGGGAAUAACUACUGGAAACGGUGGCUAAUACCUCAUAAUGUCUACGGACCAAAGCAGGGGCUCUUCGGACCUUGCACUAUCGGAUGAACCCAUAUGGGAUUAGCUAGUAGGUGGGGUAAAGGCUCACCUAGGCGACGAUCUCUAGCUGGUCUGAGAGGAUGAUCAGCCACACUGGGACUGAGACACGGCCCAG
rnacentral:rRNA from 1 species